UUAUGUUGUCAAGCGCCAGGACUGUGGCAUGGACGUAGCGCCGCAGUUGACGAGGUGGAGGCAUAUCGAAUUUUCGGCGGAUACCUCCCGGCUUCGCAUCAGAGCCGCGGAACCGAGGGACAAACCAAUGGGGUGACUCAUUGUACAAAACUCUCGGUAUGAUGCGUG
rnacentral:ncRNA from 1 species